CUCUCUUUUCCUUAGGCUCUCCUUGCUGCUGCUUGUCCAGACUGCAAGCAUUGCCUCAGCACUAGUGUAAGGCCUUCAGCUUUCAGUUGCAGACAGCUCUGAAAAUGUCAAAACUGCAAAUUCAGACCAGUUCCUGCUAAAGUGAGAGGUGAUCCUUCCCCUCUGCUCAGCUCUAAUGAGACUUAUCUGGAGUGCUGUGUUCACUUCUAGCUUCCUCAAUACAAGACAAACAAGAUCACAGUGAGGCAAGAUCUACGAAGAUGAUUUGUGGACUGGAGCAUUUGACAGACGUGAAAUGGCCAAAAGAACUGGAGUUCUUCAGCCUGGAGGAAAGUAGAAUUGGAGAUAUCUGAUUAAUGAAUAUAAACCUUAGAAAGCAUGAAAAAAUAUGAAAAUAGUAGAGAAUCAGAUCAGAAACUUUAAUUUACCCCCUUUCUGAACACAAGAAAAAUUCUAUUCUCUGGAAUAACAAUGAAAACUAUCCUUAAUAUUAUCCUUUCUUAGCAUGUGUAACUCAUUUUCACAGGAUAUAAUCAAAGAGUAGAAUUUAUCUGGAACCUAAAAAACAAUGAAUGUUUAUGCACCUAAUAAUUAUCAGAACUAAUAAUCAUUUAAACCAAGAGUGUUGGAAAGAAUAUAUUAUUUUAAAUCUCAGUAUGGAAACCAAAGGAGACUAUUCAUAAUUAUUAAGAAACUUUACUUAUGUGAAGAAUAAAUUUUAUUAUUCCUUUCUACCAUGAAAUGAACCCCAUCUUAUAGGUGUCUGGAUAAAACAAAUACCGUCAUUCAUCUUACUGAUUUACUUUCAUCAGAAGAAAAGACAAAUGUAUCUAUCUACCUCUACACUUCCUUAUCUUUACAUUUAAUAUUGAAGUUGUCUCUAACUAGUGCUUAUUUUACCAUAACUCCCUUUUAAUUCUUGACAUGGUAAUGAUAGCAGUCAUCCUCACUUAGACCAAACAUUACAAGUUCUUUCUGCCUCCUUUCAUGAGAUCAUCUCACAUCAGUUUUAAUUGAUUUUGCUGCUCCUUUCAGCAAAGAGCCCUGAUGGGAGAGUUUGCACAUUUUUUUAAAAUAUUACCAACAAGAUCAAUCAGCUAUUUGUACGUUUUUUAUUAGGAUUUAGGCCAUAUGCACAUUAUCAAAAGAUUCCUCUGCUAUCUAAAUUGAAAAGAAAAGUAAAAAGAGAAAUGGUGGGUACACUGCAGUUACAACUGGGUAGAAAUAAAGGAUAUCAUUACUGUUUCCAAGUGGCUAGUACUGUUUGAGAGAUCAAUCUUCCGAGAAUAUUUGUAGAUUCUUUCUAUUCUGCCUUAGCCCAGCAGACAGCUAAAUGCCACAUAUCCUUUCACUGAGGGGGAUGGGGGAGAGAAUCUGAGAAAAAAAAAGAGAAAAAAAUAGGACUCAUGAGUUAAGAACUAUUUACUAAGACAGAAAAUGAAGAGAGAAAUAAUAGCAGUUGUAAUAUAUGGAUAUAUAUAUGUAUAUAUAUAUACGUAUAUAUGUACUUACAAAACAAAUGAUUCACAGCUCAAUUGCUUACCAACUACUGAUCAGUACCCAUCUGAUAUCCCUGUGGCCAGGUCCUGACUCUGUCCCCUGUUCUUUUGAGUUUGUAUGAGCUUGAGUAUGAGUAUAUUUUAAGACUAAUCCAUUCCUUCUAUUUUGUUAGUAUACUUAUAUUUUUUUUUCCCAGCAGCUCAGUUACAUCUUUCAUCGCACACAUCUAAGCUACAGUGCUUUUAUUUCAAGACAUUAUUGAUUUUCCUACCCUAGUAGGUUGCUUUAGUAUGUGACACCAUAGUUAUUCGUCAACUUUCUAACUCAUUUUUUCAUUAGACUUGACAGUUUAGAAAUUAAAUUCAUCUAGAACCCAGGGUCUUUUCACUUAGUGUGUGUGUGAUCACCUCCCAGCUGCUCUUUUCUCUUUUAUUGAUUAAUUUAACAUAUAUAUCUUAAUAAAAGAAAAUAUAUUUCUCCCUCUCCCCAGACUUUUUACCCUGAGACAUAAAGCUUCUGUUCUGCACAUACCAUGCUGUUUCUUUAAGACAAAAAUAAAGCAAACUACAUACCCAAAUUCUUCAAAUGACAUGGAUCAAAACACAUGGGAGUAGAAAAAUAGCUUCACUCACUCAGAAGGAUUUGAAUAUCUAUUUCUCAAAAGACUCCUCUGCUUACAUCUUUGUGGUCCAUAGCUGUCUUCUUUCAGGUGCACUUUACUUAAUUAUGUGCUUGAGUAAGUCACAGAGUGAAACUAACUGUCCCAUUAUUAUUCAAAUAAAAUAAUUUGC
ensembl:lncRNA